CAUGUGUCCUCCCCUCAAUCAUGCACUCCACCACCAGGUCCACCAGUACCAGUAGAGAGAGAGAGAGAGAGAGAGAGAGAGAGAGAGAGAGAGUCAUGUAAACUAAAAAGUGAAGCGAAGGAGCCAAGAGAGGGGCUGCGAAACGAAGCGAAGCGCAGUCCACGCGACCGAUCCCUCGAUCACCGACCCCCUCGACUCCUUUAUGGUCUCCGUGGACGCCAAGCCGGCCGACGGUGGAGGCGGCGGAGGAACGGCAGUGCUCUUCUUCUCCGACCCUCACCACCACCACCACCAGCAGCAGCCGCCCAGCGGCCCGCCCGUGGCCCUCCCCGGCCUCGCCGGCGGCGGCGCCCUCGCUGUCGCUGCUCCCGCCGCCGCCGCCGCCGCGUCCUCGUCCGACGACCCCAGCAAGAAGAUUCGGAAGCCGUAUACUAUCACCAAGUCCAGGGAGAGCUGGACGGAGCCGGAGCACGACAAGUUUCUCGAGGCUCUCCAGCUUUUUGAUCGUGACUGGAAAAAGAUAGAAGCAUUUGUGGGCUCAAAGACAGUCAUCCAGAUAAGGAGCCAUGCACAGAAAUACUUUCUGAAGGUUCAAAAGAAUGGAACAAGUGAACAUGUACCACCCCCUCGACCCAAGCGGAAAGCAGCUCAACCAUAUCCACAGAAAGCGUCUAAAAAUGCUUCACUUCAAACUUCGUCUAUGCUUGAACCAAGGUAUGCUCUCACGGCAGAUACAUCUUCUAUGCUGCGGAACUCUACCACCAGUGCAACCGUGUCUUCAUGGGUCCACAGUUCUGUUCAGCCUGUUAGUGCCCCUCAUGCACCAAAAGAUGAUGUAGGGCCUACUGGAGCUGUUGUAGCAAAUAACUGCUCCUGUAGCAGCACUGAGAGCCCAUCUAUAACUUGGGCAACUUGUGAAACAACUGAUCAAGAAAACCAUGUCCGAUCCCUUUGUGUUAUGCCAGACUUUGCUGAGGUGUACAGCUUUCUUGGCAGUGUGUUUGACCCGAAUACAAGUGGUCAUUUGCAGAAACUGAAAGAGAUGGAUCCAAUUGAUGUUGAAACAGUAUUGUUGCUGAUGAAGAAUCUAUCCAUUAAUUUGACUAGCCCUGACUUUGAGCCCCAUUAACAGUUUAUUUUGGACUUCACUGGUCUCAACCUUUAAAUGAAUGCACGCAAUUGGCUGAAUUGGUGUUCACAUAUUGGUAACAUGUGCCAAGAUAAUACAGGUUGGUGCGCAUAUGAAAAAAUGUACAUGACGGCUGGUGUAUAAUGAGAAGGUUGCUCUCAUCAUACAGUGCUGGCACAGAGGAUGUUAAACCUGGUAGGGCUAGAGUUAGUGAAACUAUGGAUGCUUUAUUUGUGGUGAAAGGUGCAUGAAAGGCAUUCAAGCUUCUGUAGCUAUAAUUUAUUCAGUUUGCGGUGUCUCCAAGUUGUGUAAAAUACACUCAAGGCAGUGAGGAUUAACUACACCGUUAAAUGGGGAUUUUCUGCAUUUUCCGCUGUGAGCUUUCUUAGAACACCAGCCUUGAGGUCUAGAAUAAUGUUUGUAGUAAGAUCUUCUUGACAAUUGGAUAUGACAUAAUUCUUGUACAGGUCCCUGACAUCUUCUGUUUCUUAGGGUUUUGAUUUGUACAUAUCUGUUUUGUGAUCUUUGUAAAUUUCUGAGAGUUCGCGCCAGCACAGAGGAUGCUGCCAGCUGCUGAAUCCCUCCUUUAUCUAUAUUUUGUGUCCGUCCUAUGUAGAAUCCCUGAUGCAGUAUCUUCUCAAUUUUUUUAUAAACUGUAUGAUAAGGGCGAGUUGCUCUUGAAUAAUGAUGUCUUUCUGGGACAUGGAGCCCACUGCUUGCUAUAUUUUGAUGAUCCCUUGAGAUUGCACCUUUUCAGCAGAAGAGGCUGUUAAUAUAAGCUUGUGAUUUCUGGAA